GGUUGACCUCGGAUCAGGUAGGGAUACCCGCUGAACUUAAGCAUAUCAAUAAGCGGAGGAAUA
rnacentral:rRNA from 1 species